GAAACAUGAUUUUUAGAGGUAAAAGGGUUUGCCUAUGUAGUUUGGGGUUCUUUUGAGUGAUGUUGAACUUUUUAUCAUUAUUGUUGUCGUCUUUUUUCUGUUGUUUUGAUUAUUAUGGUCUUGUGUUUCUUUUUAAUUUAUUAAUAAUAAUAAAAAACUUAUUUAAGUUUUGAAACAUAUUGUUUACUUAUGUUAUUUCAUUAUCAGUUAGAUUUAUAUCAUAAGAAAUUCAAAU
rnacentral:lncRNA from 1 species